GACGUAGGAGGCGAGCGUUGUCCGGAUUCAUUGGGCGUAAAGAGCACGCAGGCGGUUUGGCAAGUCGGAUGUGAAAACCCGGAGCUCAACUCCGGACCUGCAUCCGAAACUGCCCGACUAGAGGUAGGUAGGGGAGAUCGGAAUUCCUGGUGUAGCGGUGAAAUGCGCAGAUAUCAGGAGGAACACCGGUGGCGAAGGCGACUACCUGGCCUGUUCUUGACGCUGAGGCGCGAAAGCUAGGGGAGCAAACGGG
rnacentral:rRNA from 1 species